AUGAAGGCCCUGCGGCGAUCCAGCACCUCGACCUCUCCGUCCUCCUCCUCCUCCCCGACGGCCGCGUCGUCCCCGCCCUCCUCCUCCUGGAUCCACAUCCGCUCGCUCCUCGUCGCGGCCGCCUCGUCCAACUCCUCCUCAUCCUCGGCGGCGGCGGCGGCCGCCGCGGCCGCGGGGAGCUCCGUGCCCGCCUUGGCGUCUGUUGCGUCUGCGGCGGCCGCGGCCUCGUCUUCGUCCUCGCCCGCCGCCUCCUCCUCGCCGCGCUCGGAUCGGGGAGGAAUUAAAUCUCCGUGGUCUCGAAGGAAAAGGAAAAGAGUACUUUCUCGUCAACAGUGGGACGGUCAAUUUUCAGCUAAUGGGAAACUUCGUGAUGGGGGAAAGAAGGUCCUAAAGAAAGUCCGUAGUGGGGGUAUUGAACCAGGCAUUCGGGCUGAAGUUUGGCCCUUCCUACUAGGAGUCUAUGAUUUAAAUAGCUCCGAAGAGGAGCGGAAUACCAUCAGGAUUAAAAAAAGGAAAGAGUAUGAAAAACUUAGGCGGCAGUGCCAGCACAUUCUGAAUGGGUACAGAGGAAGUGGGCUGAAGUCAAUAAAUGAAGUGAAUAAUGAGGAGUGUUCUGCUCACGGAAGUGGUGCUGAAGGAUCAGAAUCGCCUUGUUUUGAAGAUGUCAAUGUCGAGAAAGCGUCUAGGUCACUCGAGGAACCGAAGCCUGAACACAGCGAGGCCGAGCAACCAGAAAUCACUAUGUGUGAUGAUGUUAUAGAAUCUAUGGAAGAAGACACAAGCGAGUUAAUUGAUGCAUAUCCAUGCAUAGCAGAGUCAGAAUCUUCUGAUUCCGAAUCAUCGGAUGAAGAUGACUCUGGAAGGAUAUCCGUGUGUGGCGAGGAGAGCUGCGAUCCGGAUCCUAAAUUUGCCAGGAGUACUUCGUUCAAGGCAGAUAUUUUUCGGUCUAGCAGAACCCCGGAGGACUUCGCGACAUGGCAACGCAUCAUAAGGCUAGAUGCUAUCCGGGCAAAUGCGGAAUGGAUUUCGUUCUCCCGUGACCAGGCUGAAGUCCCCAAGGAGAAAGCUCUACAGUCUGCAGCAUCUGUUGGGUUGAAAGAUUUUGAUCAUUUAGAGCCCCAUAUGAUUUACCAUGCUGCUCGGUUGGUCGGACUUCUUGAAGCAUAUGCGAUCUACGAUCCGGAGAUCGGUUACUGCCAAGGUAUGAGUGAUCUCUUGUCACCGAUAAUCGCAGUGAUGGAGGAGGACGAUGCGGCAUUCUGGUGCUUUGUGGGUUUCAUGAGGAAAGCCAGGCACAACUUCAGGCUGGACGAGGUUGGAAUAAAGAGGCAGCUGAAGAUCGUGUCCCAGAUCAUCAAGCGCAAGGACUCGCACCUGUACAGGCACCUGCAGAAGCUGCAGGCCGAGGACUGCUUCUUCGUGUACAGAAUGGUGGUGGUGCUCUUCAGGAGGGAGCUCACCUUCGAGCAGACCGUGUGCCUGUGGGAGGUGAUGUGGGCCGACCAGGCAGCCAUCCGGGCCGGGAUCGGGAGGACCACCUGGGGGAAAAUAAGGCUGCAUGCCCCGCCGACCGACGACCUGCUGCUCUACGCCAUCGCGGCCUGCGUCCUGCAGAGGAGGAAGCUGAUCAUCGAGAAGUACAGCAGCAUGGACGAGAUACUAAGAGAGUGCAACAGCAUGGCCGGGCAGCUGGACGUGUGGAGGCUGCUGGACGACGCGCACGACCUGGUCGUUAACCUCCAUGACAAGAUCUGA
rnacentral:rRNA from 1 species